GCUACACACCUUUCGACUUGACUAAAUUUUUCCGAAAUAUUUUUAAAAUUCCCGUAAAAUUAAAUACAAUCUCUUGGAAAUUUGAUUUUCAGUAUGCCCGGGAAAAAGCGAGUCACCGCCAAGAAAACUGCGACUAUCGCAGUGGAUAAUGUGAUUCCCAAUAGUGUUGCAGGGUCACCAGCAGCCGUUGAGGCUCCAGAGAAAACUGUUCCUGCCGUUAAGAAGGCCAAAGCCAAGAGCAAGUCGAAGACCAAAAGCAAGUAGAUCAAUAUGGGAAUAUUAUAAUAUUGGAAUUUUACAAAUCAUCAAGCAAACACACAAACGGAACAAUGCCUGACGAAAUCGUAGAACAGAUUAUUGAAGCCAUUCUAUACUGGAUAUCCUAUAAUGCAACUGACUAGCAAAAAAAAUGUAAACUUUAUUGGCCCAGUUAAAACCAGCUAUAAUCUGUUCUGAACAAAUAAAGAGGGAUUUGGAAUUCAAAUGAAACCCUUUUUUAGUUCAAUUUUGCACGAAGCAAGUCAAUAACAUUCGCUCUAGGAACAAGACUUUUUUUUAACAAAUUAACCGAAAUAUAAUAAUAUAACAAAAAGUAACA